rnacentral:rRNA from 1 species
ACUUGCUUACAACAUAAUGGUAAUGCACUAGAUCCCAUUAGAACUCCACAGUUAAGAUCGCUCAGGCUAGAGUAGUACUGGGAUGGGUGGCCUCCCGUGAUGUCCUAGUAUUUUACAUGCC